rnacentral:rRNA from 1 species
UACGUAGGGUGCAAGCGUUGUCUGGAAUUAUUGGGCGUAAAGAGCUCGUAGGCGGUUUUGUCGCGUCUGCUGUGAAAUCCCGAGGCUCAACCUCGGGCCUGCAGUGGGUACGGGCAGACUAGAGUGCGGUAGGGGAGAUUGGAAUUCCUGGUGUAGCGGUGAAAUGCGCAGAUAUCAGGAGGAACACCGGUGGCGAAGGCGGAUCUCUGGGCCUUACCUGACGCUGAGGCGCGAAAAGCUGGGGGGAGCGAACGG